GACGAAAGAAGCGAAAAUAACCAUGCAACGAAAACUCAGCAGCCGUCACAUGCAAAUGAUUGCGCUUGGCGGUACCAUCGGCGUUGGCCUUUUCAUGGGAGC
rnacentral:rRNA from 1 species